UGGGGAGUGGCUCAGUGGUAGAGUUGUUGCCUAGCAUCAUACAAGCUCCUGGGUUCAAUACCCAGCACCACAU
rnacentral:tRNA from 1 species